CUACGGGACGCUCCAGUGGGGAAUAUUGCACAAUGGGCGCAAGCCUGAUGCAGCAACGCCGCGUGAGCGAUGAAGGCCUUCGGGUCGUAAAGCUCUGUCCUCAAGGAAGAAUACAUGACGGUACUUGAGGAGGAAGCCCCGGCUAACUACGUGCCAGCAGCCGCGGUAAUACGUAGGGGGCAAGCGUUAUCCGGAAUCACUGGGCGUAAAGGGUGCGUAGGCGGUUUUUCAAGUCAGGAGUGAAAGGCUAUGGCUCAACCAUAGUAAGCUCUUGAAACUGUUAAACUUGAGUGCAGGAGAGGAAAGUGGAAUUCCUAGUGUAGAGGUGAAAUUCGUAGAUAUUAGGAGGAACACCAGUGGCGAAGGCGACUUUCUGGACUGUAACUGACGCUGAGGCACGAAAGCGUGGGGAGCGAACAGGAUUAGAUACCCCCGUAGUC
rnacentral:rRNA from 1 species